rnacentral:rRNA from 1 species
UUUUGUGGGGUGCUCGAGUGGCGAACGGGUGAGUAACACGUGAGUAACCUGCCCUUGACUUUGGGAUAACUUCAGGAAACUGGGGCUAAUACCGGAUAGGAGCUCCUGCUGCAUGGUGGGGGUUGGAAAGUUUCGGCGGUUGGGGAUGGACUCGCGGCUUAUCAGCUUGUUGGUGGGGUAGUGGCUUACCAAGGCUUUGACGGGUAGCCGGCCUGAGAGGGUGACCGGCCACAUUGGGACUGAGAUACGGCCCAGACUCCUACGGGAGGCAGCAGUGGGGAAUAUUGCACAAUGGGCGGAAGCCUGAUGCAGCAACGCCGCGUGCGGGAUGACGGCCUUCGGGUUGUAAACCGCUUUCGCCUGUGACGAAGCGUGAGUGACGGUAAUGGGUAAAGAAGCACCGGCUAACUACGUGCCAGCAGCCGCGGUGAUACGUAGGGUGCGAGCGUUGUCCGGAUUUAUUGGGCGUAAAGGGCUCGUAGGUGGUUGAUCGCGUCGGAAGUGUAAUCUUGGGGCUUAACCCUGAGCGUGCUUUCGAUACGGGUUGACUUGAGGAAGGUAGGGGAGAAUGGAAUUCCUGGUGGAGCGGUGGAAUGCGCAGAUAUCAGGAGGAACACCAGUGGCGAAGGCGGUUCUCUGGGCCUUUCCUGACGCUGAGGAGCGAAAGCGUGGGGAGCGGACAGGCUUAGAUACCCUGGUAGUCCACGCUGUAAACGGUGGGUACUAUGUGUGGGGUCCAUUCCACGGGUUCCGUGCCGUA